GAUGAACGCUGGCGGCGUGCCUAAUACAUGCAAGUCGAACGGAGACGAUGUAGCAAUAUAUCGUUUUAGUGGCGAACGGGUGAGUAACGCGUAGGCGACCUGCCCCGAAGUGCGGGACAACAGUUCGAAAGGGCUGCUAAUACCGCAUGAGGCCGACCGGGUUAGAGGCCGGGCGACGAAAGGAGUGAUCCGCUUUGGGAGGGACCUGCGUCCCAGCAGCUAGUUGGGGGGGAAAAGGAUCACCAAGGCGACGACGGGUAGGGGCGCAGGGAGGGUGGCCCCCCACACUUGCACUGAAACAAGGGCCAGACACCUACGGGUGGGAGCAGUAGGGAAUAUUGAACAAUGGGCGCAAGCCUGAUGCAGCAACGCCGCGUGCGCGAAGGAGGCCUUCGGGUUGUAAAGCGCUUUUCUGGAGGACGAGGAAGGACGGUACUCCAGGAAGAAGGAUCGGCUAACUACGUGCCAGCCGCCGCCGUAACAC
rnacentral:rRNA from 1 species